GUUAUAAAAAGAAGUUAAAAACUUCCAUAAGAUAGUUAUACGGCAAAUGAAUGCAUGCAUGCCUGCAUGCACCAAAUGUUCAGCUUUCUCCUUCUUCUUCCACAGUUAAGGAAGAACUAGUCCUACAGUUUUUAUCCUAGAAAUAUCAUUUUUGCACCAUUGUGUUGCACUUUAGGGACGCUAGUGUAGUGUGGCUUGGCAUUGUAAUUCUACAAAAUGAUUUUGUCGUCAUUUUUAAGCACAUAUUGACUCACCAAGUGGUUGGACGCCAUUUUGAUGCAUCCAACUGCGCAUGCUCAGUAUUAUUUUUAUAGUUUCCGACUCUCCGUUACUGACUGAUCUAUGAUGAGAUUGAGAUGAUGUGCUUGCCUAAACACCCUAUCUACUUACACCAAGAUUCCCUUGAAAGUUUUGUAUUUAUGCUUCAAUUUGCCUUCAUUCUCUUCAUUACUUCAAUCUCUUCAAGUAAGUCUCACCACACCCCUUUGCUACCUGCAGAGCUGGAGGAAGGGUCUGGAGACCGUGCACUGCCAUCUAAAAUGUGUGCAAAGAAGAACACGUGCUUGAACUACAUCAUGUGACAGAGGAGACCAGAUCGGUCAAAAUAGCUGAAACAGAUGCUUUGCAGCUAAGAAAAGUUGAGGAUAUUGUCCCUUGAACAUCUCUUGCAGAUCCUUCCUCCACAGGUAAGCGAAGGGGUGGGGCGAGACUAAUGGGUAUGUUAAAUGGUGGGC